UUUAUUUCUCUUUAUUUAUUAUAUUUUCUAGAUUAUCUAUGUUAGGUUUAUCAUGCAUGAGUUCAUGUUCAUCCUCUUGGGAUUAUCUUUUGUAUUUGAAUGUUAAUUCAUUGUUCUAGUUGAUAUAUCUUUCAGGGUCUUUGAAUUGUAUUCUUUACUUAGCUUAAUUCGUAUUAGUUGUUCUUGUUCUUCCUAGAUUAGUGUUUAUUAUAAGAACUUAAGGAGUCUAUCUAGUUCAUAGUUAGGUUGUUGUCUUUCUCUAUUUUAAACCCUAAUCUCGUAUCUUAUUGAUUCCGUGUAUUUUUGCAUUUUCAAUAUGAUUCCGUAUCAUCUUUGUAUUAGAGCGAAGGUUAAAGAUUGUUCAAUCAAUCCUUGGGUCAUUGUUCUGUUAUCAUCAAUCUGAAAAUCAAAAAUUACUAAAAAUAGCAGGUUACUGUUCAUCUGUGACUGAAAUACAAAUCGUAUCUCCUUGUUCUUCUAUGUUUGUUUCCAAAAUAGAAAUACAAAAGAUUAUCUCCCUCAAUUUUGAUUCUGAAACUUCUGAAUUUCUUCACUAUCUGAGAUUGAAUCACUUAUUUGAGCUGAAAUUCGAAGUUGGUUUGAGAAUUGAAACCUAAAUCGACCAACAGCAGAAAUCGAAAUUUGGAGGAUUUGCUCCGAAUCGAAAUUUUGAGCUCGAAAUCGAUUGGGUGAGUUCUAAUCUUGUUGGUACAUCUUGAUUGAGGUGAAAUCUGAUGAAUUAGGGCCGAUUUGAUCUGAAUCUCUAGGUUUGGGUUCAAAAUAUUUCGAAGCUGCUUCAGUGGAGAAGACGGCCUAGGGUUCAUCGAUUUAGUGAGCCUUGUUCCAAAUUGAUUUAGGAGCUUUGUUCGAGCUGUUGUUGGGAGUUUGUAAUCCAAAUUUGAGCUCCAUUGGUGAAGGUUUGGGUCAGUGACGAAUCGAAAAUGCUGUGGCGGAAUUCGACAAAAUUGCAGCUGUGUUCUUCAUCCGCUAGGAGUCGUUUGCUACUGAUUUGUCGCCUCGAACAUCAAUUCAUCGUCACACACAGGGUGUUAUUGACUGAGAAAAAAACCAGAAGAAUUUUCAGGCAUUCCAGCUGCAGUUUGAACUAAAUCUGCAGUAUUUGAACUUGUGUUUGAAGCAGAAAACCAGUUGAUCUUUGGGGAUUGAAAAUCUGUGAAUUGAAGAGGCCUAUAGCUGCUGUUAAGUUGAAUUGCAAACUGCAGGUUGUAGUUCCCUGCUGCUACAGUUUGGCUGCAAUUGUGAACAUCUUCAGUAGCUUGCAGUCACUGAUGAACUUUGCAUUUGAGCUACAACUUGGAGUCUUUUUACAGAAUUGUGAAGAAGAUUGCUCAGGAGAUCACCAACAGUCUGCAACCUUGUCAGUUAUUGUGAGGCUGUCCAGAAUUGCAGAUUUGACCAGUCCUUACCUAUGUGGCCAUUCUUUGCAAAUCCGACCAAUUUUACAAAACUAGCCAGUUUUUGAGAAUAUGACCAAAAUUUGGAUAAGUGUCUAGUUUUGUAGUUUCUUUUCUUUUAUUUCUUUUCAAUUUGUAGGAAACUCAACUCUUAACAAGAUUAACUUGAUAUUAGUUCAUAUUGAGUUUA